GCCGGAAUAGCUCAGUUGGGAGAGCGUUAGACUGAAGUUGUUUACGCAAAAGUCAUCUAAAGGCCCCUCGGUUCAAUCCCGGGUUCCGGCA
rnacentral:tRNA from 1 species